UACGUAGGGGGCAAGCGUUGUCCGGAUUUAUUGGGCGUAAAGGGCGCGUAGGCGGCUUGGCAAGUGGAAGGUGAAAUCCCUCGGCUUAACCGAGGAACUGCCCUCCAAACUGCUUUGCUUGAGGCCGGGAGAGGUAAGUGGAAUUCCCAGUGUAGCGGUGAAAUGCGUAGAUAUUGGGAGGAACACCAGUGGCGAAGGCGGCUUACUGGACCGGUUCUGACGCUGAGGCGCGAAAGCGUGGGGAGCAAACGGG
rnacentral:rRNA from 1 species